CCGGAAGCGGCGGCGAAGCCGCGGCCGGGGAGCGCCCGCCGGGCCCGCGUCACUGUCCAAAGGGAACAGGAGCUGAACCAUGACUGUUUUUCUGCAGCAGAAGCUGGGUACCCGCUGGCCUCCUGAAUACAAAACUGAAGUUUCAUACUGUUUCCCUUGAAUGGAAACAGCAUGACGUGAGCGUGGAAAGAGUGGAACAGUAUGUGAAGGGAAACAGGACUGAAAGGAGAGAACAGCUGACUCCAGGGGCUGAGCUGAUCUGCCCCUUCUGCUUCACUGUGUGGGUUUGUUUUCAGCUCAGACCAUCUUGGGUCUUGCAACACAUCUCCACAGCUCUGGGCUGGAAAACGAAACAACUGCAAGGAGGUUGUUCCUUCUUCCUGCAACAAGCUUCUCAGCCUGUGGGAAAUGAAAGCGAAGGCUGGACUUCAAAACAAGCUGAAAGUACUCAGAUGCAGAAGUGCAGAGUGAUGCCAUUCAAUAGAGUCAGAUUUGGAACAGAGCCCUGAAAAAAACCUGCAGUUAUGACUAAUCCAUUUUUAAUGCGUGUGGUUGUAGGUAAAAUCACUUAUUUAAAAGAUCAUUUCUCUCCCUG